ACAUGCCUACAACAUAGUGUUAAUGCAUUGGAUACCAUUAGAACUCCACAGUUAAGUGUGCUCAGGAUAGAGUAGUACUGAGAUGGGGGACUUCCCGAGAAGUCUUAGUGUUUUACAUGCC
rnacentral:rRNA from 1 species